UGCAGAAUGAGCCGGCGAGUUAUGGUAUUGUGCAAGGUUAAGUAGAAAAUACGGAGCCGAAGCGAAAGCGAGUCUUAAAAGGGCGAAAAAGUACAAUGCUGUAGACCCGAAACUGAGUGAUCUAGCCAUGAGCAGGUUGAAGUGUAGGUAACACUACAUGGAGGACCGAACCAGGGUACUAUGUAACGUGCUUGGAUGACUUGUGGUUAGCGGUGAAAUUCCAAUCGAACUCAGAGAUAGCUGGUUCUCCCCGAAAUAGGUUUAGGCCUAGCCUUGAAGAAUUUCCUCUGGAGGUAGAGCACUGAAUGUGGAAUGGCCGCGUCUAGCGGUACUGACUGCAAUCAACCUCCGAAUGCCAGAGUAGUUAGCUUCAGGAGUCAGUUUAUGGGUGAUAACGUCCAUAUGCGAGAGAAAAACAAUUCAGACCACCAGUUAAGGUCCCAAAAUAUAUGUUAAGUGGGAAAGGAUGUGGAGUUGCACGAACAGCUAGGAGGUUGGCUCAGAAGCAGCCAUCCUUUAAAGAGUGCGUAAUAGCUCACUAGUCGAGUGGCUCUGCGCCGAAAAUGUACCGGGGCUAAACAUAUUACCGAAACUGUGGAUUUAUGCGAUAGCAUAAGUGGUAGGGGAGCGUUCUAAGGGCGACGAAGAUAGAUCGAGAGGACUAUUGGAGCGCUUAGAAGUGAGAAUGCCGGUGUGAGUAACGUAAGGUAGGUGAGAAUCCUACCCACUGAUUGACCAAGGAUUCCAGGGUCAAGUUCGUCUACCCUGGGUAAGUCAGGACCUAAGGCGAGGCUGAGAAGCGUAGUCGAUGGACAACAGGUUUAUAUUCCUGUACUAUUUAUAGGACUGAAGGAGUGACAAAGGAAGCUAGUAAGAGCCAUUUAAUGGAUUAUGGUCUAAGCACAAAGACUGAUACAUAGGAAAAUCCGUGAUAUCGAACGGUUGAAGUGUGAUGGCGAAGCAGUCUACGGACAGCGAAGUCUUAUGAGGCUAAACUUUUUAAAAAAGCUUCUAAAGAAAUGCUAUAAAUACCUGUACUAAGAACCAACGCAGGUGGUCAAGGAGAGAAUCCUAAGGUGAGCGAGAGAACUAUGGUUAAGGAACUCGGCACAAUGAUCCCGUAACUUCGGAAUAAGGGAAGGUCUUGAAAAAGACCCGCAGUGAAUAGGCCCAAGCGACUGUUUACCAAAAACACAGGUUUCUGCAAAAGCGUAAGCUGAAGUAUAGGAGCUGACGCCUGCCCAGUGCUGGAAGGUUAAGAUGAUUUGUAAGAUGGACGAAAGUCGAUAACAUCGAAGCAAUGAAUUGAAGCCCCAGUGAACGGCGGCGAUAACUAUAAUCGUCCAAAGGUAGCGAAAUUCCUUGUCAGGUAAGUUCUGACCCGCACGAAAGGCGUAACGAUUUGGGCACUGUCUCAACCAUAGACUCGGUGAAAUCUUAAUACCUGUGAAAAUGCAGGUUACCAGCGACAGGACGGAAAGACCCCAUGGAGCUUUACUGUAGCUUGAUAUUGAAAUCAGGUAGUUAAUGUAGAGGAUAGGUGGUAGACAAUGAAGUUAAGACGCUAGUCUUAAUGGAGUCGACCUUGGAAUACCACCCUUUGACUAUUUGAUUUCUAACUUGCACCCGUAAUCCGGGUGAAGGACAGUGUCUGGUGGGCAGUUUGACUGGGGCGGUCGCCUCCU
rnacentral:rRNA from 1 species